AUGUUUUUCACGGUUCUAAUAAUUCUAGUGGUAAUCAUAAUAUUUUUCAUGCGAAAACCUCAAAAUUUUCCACCUGGUCCAGUAUGGUAUCCCAUAGUAGGUAACUUCCAUAUUUUAAAAAGUCUAUCGAAAUCAGAAGGAGGACAACACAAAGCUUUCGCAAAAUUAUCGAAAAUUUAUAAAUCGAAUAUAAUAGGAUUGAAAUUGGGAACAGAAAAAUUAGUUGUUGUGUCAUCUUUUGAUUUAAUAAAAGAAGUCGCCUACGGACACGAAUUUAAUGGUAGGCCAAGAAAUUUUUUCUUAAAACUUCGAUCUAUGGGUACGAGAAAAGGUAUUGUUGGAACUGAUGGAGAACAUUGGAAAAUACAGAGACAUUUUGUAGUCACUCAUCUUCGUUCUCUCGGGUUUGGUCUGAAAACUAUGGAUGAUAUGGUUCGAGAAGAAGUCACCGAACUACUGUCAAUUUUAAAACAAAGCAAAGAGAAUGAAAUUAAAAUAGUACCGAUCAUCUCAGUGUCCGUAUUGAAUGUUUUAUGGAGAUCAUUGAGUGGGUCUAGAUUAGAUCGCUCUGAUCCAAAUCUUCAGUAUUUGUUGGAUUUAUUGGAUAAAAGGGCGUUGGCCUUUAAUAUGGCAGGAGGAGUGUUGAACACGUUUCCUUGGUUAAGAUUCAUAUCCCCCGAAAAAUCCGGAUAUAAUUUAGUUAUGGAAUUGAAUAAAGAACUCAAAGCUCUACUAAUGAAAACUAUAAACGCACAUUAUGAAACUUGGACAGACGGAAGAGAUGAUGAUUUGAUAUAUUCUUUUAUCUCAGAAAUGAAAAAAAGUAAUGGAGCUCCAACAACAUUUACAGAGGAUCAGUUGUUGAUGGUAUGUUUGGAUAUAUUUAUAGCUGGUUCUCAAACAACAAGUAAUACUUUAGAUUUUGCCAUAAUGAUGAUGAUAUUGUACCCAGAAAUACAAGAAAAAGUUAGAAAUACAUUGAAUGAAGCUUUCGAUAAAAUAGAACAUAUAAGCUACAAUUGCAGAGGAAGGGUGCCUUAUAUAGAAGCAGUUAUCAGUGAGGUUCAGAGGUAUUGUCACGUUAUACCUGUUAGUGGACCAAAACGAACUGUCAAAGAUGCAAUUUUAGGAGGAUACCGUAUUCCUAAGGAUACUACUUUGCUAUUCAGCUUUUAUUCCAUAAAUAAUGACGAAAGUUAUUGGAAAGAUCCAGAAGUGUUUAGGCCGGAGAGAUUUUUAGAUAGUGAAGGCAGACUGUCAGUUCCUGAACGAUUUGCACCCUAUGGAUUCGGAUUAAGAAGAUGCAUAGGAGAAGUAUUAGCGAGGACCAGUAUAUUCACUAUUUUCGGCGAAAUUUUAAGGAACUACAUGAUCGUGGAAGCAACUGGAUCGCAAAAACCCACAGAAAUAUUUGUUUCGGGAAUUACGCUGAUUCCAAAACAAUACGAAGCAAAAUUCAUUAGAAUCUCUCACUGAUUUCACCGAAUUUGAAAAUAUACGGAGUAGCGCGAAACGAGUUGUCAUGUUGUCACAGUGAACAGUAUUUCGCGAAGACAACCUCUUAGCACCUCUUACUAAGAGCCGAGUUUUAGCAAUGCCAAUGGACAAUUCCAAAUCGAUACUCCGAUAGGGUGAAACAUUUUGAACUGACGGAUAAGUCAAGAAGAAGAAACAAUAUGUUCGCCCCUUUUCGUUUGGACACCAAGUGUGUGAGUGAUGUUUAAUAGACAGUACGAGGGUGGUUUAAAUAUAAACUUGAAUUUUGCUGUAAAACGUUUUAUUAAGUUACAGAGCUGAUUUUUUUUACACUUUUUUAGACAAUACUCAUCACACUUUAGACAUUUUUACCAUGUCUCCGGAAGCUUUUGGGCUGCCUUUUUCGUAAAAAUAACAGUCACAUGGCGAUAAAUCAGGACUGUAAUAAGGGUAUUACGUUUUACCCAAUUCGUUUAAUUUUUCCAACGUACGCCGAGCUGUAUGCGGUCUGGUGUUGUCUUACAGCAAUAUGGCGCUACAUAUUGGACUAUCGCAUCGUUUUGAUCCGUAAACAGGUUUCACCAUAUUUUUUAGGGGGUUACUAAAAUACUGCACUUUCACUUUUCGUUUUUCAUUAAGAAAAUAUGUCCCAAAACACUGGACAUAGCACAUUUCUUGCUGACAGUGUAACUUUAACUUUAACUGGCUUCCUCCGCUUUAUAGACACGCGUUUACACUCCGGAAUAUAGUAGUGUAUUCAAGUCUCGUCUGUGGUGACUAAUCGAUGCAAUAAAAUUUCUUCUACCUCUUCAUAACGAUGCAGGAGACGCGUGCAAGCUUCCCAGGAAGAGAAUUUCUCAAAAUUCAGAAGUAAUGGCACCCAUCUGGCUAAAAUAUUGCGGUAACCAAUCCGUUCUUGAAUUAUUUGUUCAAUAUUAUCUACGUCGAUGCCCAAUUCUUCAGCCAUAUCGCCUACAGUACUGCGUCGAUCUGCUAAAAUGAGUUUUUCUACAGCGUUGACGAUCUCAACGGUAACACUUGUUCUGUGUUUGUCACCACUCUCGGCCUUUUUUUUGGAAAGCGGAGCAUCAUUCAUACACUUCAAACUUAGAGAGGCACUAAUCUUCGAGUUGUUCAAUUAAUUUUCGAUAAAUUUCUGAGGAUUUUUCUUUAUCUUUCAUCAAAAAUCGUCAUCUUUUUACCUCAUGACUAUAAGUACCCUUAAAAAACGAGGUUAUGCAGUCCCGCCUAAUCUCUAAGCUUCAUAACAGACUAGUUAAACAUCCCGCGCAUCCUCAUUUGAACCCACCUCGUAGAUUCACUAGACGCCGACUGAAUUUCACGAAAUUCUGAAAUUAGGUACAUAUUGUACUUUUUUAGAAAAAUAAGAUAAUGAUGGCACAUUACAUACAAGUUGUAAAAAUUUUGUCAUUUAAACUAGAUAUUAACUUAGGGGAACUGUAAUUUCAACAAGACGAUGCCAUAGGUCAAGCGGUGAAAGCAUCAAUAUUUGAAGAUGUUUUCUUGACAAGAAAUUUCCCGUUUCGGCGAUGCUCCUUGGCUCUCAUUUUCUGUAGACUUGUUUCCAUACUACUUUUGCGAAGCUAACUUGAGUCUAAAGUGUACAAAUAAUCAACCAUGUUUUCUACAAAAACCGAAAAUUGCUAUUCGUCAAGAAAUCUCAAAAGUACCAGAAGAAAUUAUUUUAAGCGUGAUGUACAAUUGGAGGUGUGAGGAGAUCUUGAGUCGGAGAGACACUUGAUCAUUUUAUUAAUUUAUUUAUUUUAGCUGUAACUAAAACAAAAGUUUUGAAAAUAAAUAAUGUUAUGUUUAUGUGGAAAAGGUGCGUUUUCUCUACGCUACCCUGUAUAAGAAUGAUCCGCUGAGGUCAGAAAUUUUCUCUCCAUGGAAAACAUAUUAAAUGGAAGUCAUAUGAAUGAUAUUGUAGAUUAGAUUUUAUAUUUACUCAAUUA